GGGGGCGUAGCUCAGCUGGGAGAGCAUCAGGUUCGCAAUCUGGGGGUCAGGGGUUCGAUCCCCCUCGUCUCCACCA
rnacentral:tRNA from 1 species